GAAACCGCACUCUCGCAAGAGCCUCCGACCUCCUUCGAAUCCCUGAAAUUCUAGCUCCAUUCGCUCUCCUCUGCUUCUUCUUCUUCUUCCUCCAUUGCAGUUCGAGCGCUCUCCGAAUCGAAGGCUGCGCGGCUCGCGAAGAAGGGACGGUUUCGCGCGGUUUCCGUAAGAAUCCUUUCCGCUUUCAGUGUUUAUCGCGCUCGCCGUCGCGCGUCGUCGCUUUUGUUUCCGACGCAGAAACGGCGGCGGGCGGCGAGCGUCAGCUUGUGCAGGAGCGAGCUAGGCGGUAGUAGUUUGAUCGGAGCGUGCUCGUCGAGUGAUGACUGUGGACUGCCUGAAGUGGCAAUUGACUGAUGGCGUUUUGUGUUUCCGACGUUGAAGCAACAGCUGCUCGAGGUGAACUGUGUGAAUGGCUCGGUUGUUUCGAUGCUGUGAAUCGAUUGCGAUUCUCGGCGAUCCGGCGUGUCCUGCUCGGAAGUUUCCUAUGCGAAGGAGAUAUGUGCCUGAGACGACAUUGAUUUUUAAGCAAUUUCAGAUUUCGUCCGUGGCGCCAGUAGAGAAGUUGAAUGUUUUCUUCAUAAGCAGCAAAGAGAUUACCAGAGUCGCGGUCUCAGUGGUGUUUCCGAUGGGUUUUACACCAGAACGUGAUUCUUCUGAACUUUUUCUUCCCAGAAAUAAGGUUCUAAGCCGAACUGUAAAGACGAUCGGAAAAUUGUCGGUGAAAUUGAAAAUGCUUGUCGUCUUACUCUCGCAAAACAGUCGCUGGUGCUACGGGGAAAUUGAUUGUUGCAGAAUUGAUAAGAAAAGAUGCAGUCAUAGUACCCACGACCAUAAAUGUGGGCGGGAUCCACAUUGCAUUAGCGAGGGAGGACAUAUAUCACGGAGCGCUGCAGGGCGAGUACGUAGAAGAAAGGCUGAGGAGCUGCAAACUCUCUAUUUAGAGAUGGAUAUAAGUUGUCUCAACCAAAAAGAUUGACAGAGGCUUUCCUAUUCAGCGGCUCUUCAAGCAAUCUGAUUGGAGGAUGCCAGUAGGAUUCCCUCAGUUUACGCACGCUUGAUGCUCGAAUGACAAUGACAUGCAUUUGAAGUGUUGAUUUUGGCUAUUCUGGAGUUUUAUGCGUCUUCCAGAUUCAGUCCAUCUUUCUUCAUGAGCUGAAUGUGAAAGCCAUCUGGAAAUUGGAGGCCAGGGGUUCGGACAAUGUUGCCUCCCUUGAUUAUUUGCCACCUGAAAGUUUGAAGAAAAGUGGAAAUCCACAGAUGCAGGACCCACCUCCCAUCUUUCUGGAUCGAAUGAAAGAGGAUCUUCGUAUUUCAUGGGGUUCAGGUGUACAGCCGGUGGACAUGCCACAACCGCCCAUCCUGCUGGUAUGGUGUAUCCUGCAUUUACAUUGGGCUUUUUGCUUCGUCAAGGGAGCAUCUUCUUGAGGCUUUCUGGGCCAAAGAGAUAGAGCACCAUGUUCUUGAGGUACCUGUACAUAAUACCAUGCAAAGAACCCACGUUCUGCCGCCCAAAGAUCUCUGUGAAGGUGUCUGGAUACCAGCUCUCGACCAAGUGCCCUUCUUGUUGGAAGAUGAGAUGACUGAAAUCAGGGUCUGUUGAUACUACAACUGGACGACCAACCAAACUGAAUCUGAUGACGAAGACAGCUGAACUCCCUUGUGAAAAGGUAGUGGGUUCACAACUAUGACAGCUGACAGCUUGACUUAUUUGAAGUAGAGCCAUCGGGACCCACAUGCCCGAUUUGUCCUUCACACAAAAUCUCUUAAGUGGCAACCCUCACGCAGUGGAUCCUCGUAAAGAGGAGUUGCUCUGAUGGCUUUUUCUGUGGUUUCGUGACAAAUGCCUUCCAUAGAUGGUAAUUUCUCUCUUUUAGCUAUCAUUCUUCUAAUGCGAAUAAGCGUGAAGAAUCCUGAUGACUUUGUUUACAUGUUAGUGUGGGAACACAUAUAGACGUCGUUGAUAAUUGCUUGCGAUUCUUUUAAUAAAGAGUAAAGAUAAAUUAAAAUACACCAUUGAGUAACCCCCGCUUAUAUUAACCAGAAGUAUUGUGAUGAUCAAGCACAAAAAAUGUUCUGAAUAAAACGAGUCCACAUCUCAAGUUGCCUUUUCAUUGUCCAUCGUUCAUCCAUCAAUAAUUGUCUCAAAUUGCAUAUUUAUAUUGUACAAGCUUCCAUUAUUGAAAGUGAAGAUGCUUUGAACUGUGUAGUAAGCAGAGGGAACCAGGAAACCACGUUACUUCAGAUUGUAAACAUGUAACAUGUAGUGGUCAAGCAAGUGUGGCCACUUGCAUUAAACUCCCAUUUGACCGGAGCAGAGAAAGACCGAACAUCCAGGAAAGCAAAACCUCUUUUGACCAUAUUCAUGAUAUUUGAUUGAACCGGACGCAAAUUUUUAGGGUUUGACACUAUGUAUAGCUUAGUAAUCUUGGGUUGUCAGAGGCUUUACCACAUGCUUUCUUGUCGGUAAAACGUCUCUGUAUUCCUUGCUCGGGAGGCUUCAGGCAAUAUCAUAACCACUUCAAGGACAUUAUAUGCAGUAGAUUGUCGGUUGCUGUGUUCAUAUGAGGUAAGGCUCUGUAGCUUCUUGAAAUUUGGAAUGGGAAUAUUAUAUGAUGGAGAAUCAUCAGGAACAAGGGUUUCCACACAAGAAAAUAAGGGUGUGCAUGGAUUCCGGAACACUUCU